CCUACGGGUGGCAGCAGUGAGGAGUAUUGGUCAAUGGACGAGAGUCUGAACCAGCCAAGUAGCGUGAAGGAUGACUGCCCUAUGGGUUGUAAACUUCUUUUAUAUGGGAAUAAAAUGUUCCACGUGUGGGAUUUUGUAUGUACCAUAUGAAUAAGGAUCGGCUAACUCCGUGCCAGCAGCCGCGGUAAUACGGAGGAUCCGAGCGUUAUCCGGAUUUAUUGGGUUUAAAGGGAGCGUAGGUGGAGUGUUAAGUCAGUUGUGAAAGUUUGCGGCUCAACCGUAAAAUUGCAGUUGACACUGGCAGUCUUGAGUACAGUAGAGGUGGGCGGAAUUCGUGGUGUAGCGGUGAAAUGCUUAGAUAUCACGAAGAACUCCGAUUGCGAAGGCAGUUCACUGGACUGCAACUGACACUGAGGCUCGAAAGUGUGGGUAUCAAACAGGAUUAGAUACCCCUGUAGUC
rnacentral:rRNA from 1 species